CCUGAGUAACGGCGAGCGAAAAGGGAUGAGCCCAGCGCCGAAUCCCCGGCCWCCGGUCGCGGGAAAUGUGGCGUUUAGGAGUGAGCGUGUCGCGUUCGRAGGCGGCGGCAAGUCCCCCUGACCGGGGCCUGUCCGUAGCGGGUGCGAGRCCCAUAGSCGCCGCAGUCGACGCGAAUGCRAUCUCYUUGGAGUCGGGUUGCUUGGGAGUGCAGCCCYAAUCGGGUGGUAAACUCCACCUAAGGCUAAAUACCGCCGUGAGACCGAUAGCAAACAAGUACCGUGAGGGAAAGUUGCAAAGAACUUUGAAGAGAGAGUUCAAGAGUACGUGAAACUGCUCAGAGGUAAACGGGUGGGCYCUCGAAAUCCUGUGGCGAGAGGAUUCAGUCUGGAUCGGCGGACGGCCGGGAGGAAAAUUYGAGCAGGGCUUCCGCCGAGCGCGGGCCGUCCUCCCGGUCGACCUCAUCCGUUWCAGACGCAUUUGUCUCUCGUCCCGAGGACGCUGCAGCCGGUCUGGAAMUGCAAGCGCGACGGCCUGAAGGUCGGGAACCGGAAGGUGGCCGGUGGCUCGCCUCGUGCGGGUSGCCGGUUGUUAGCCGUCUCGACAGUGGCUCGUCUCCAGACCGUGGUGUCGCGAGUCCCUUCGGGGACUCCUCGUCUCCMCCCUGAGUCGCGGAACAGGGCCCGGCCAGGAUCUUUAGCGUCGACCGUCGCACUUCCACGGAGUGGGCGGASGAGCUCGAGGCCCGAAUCGCCGGGACGGAUCCGCGGGGGACCGGAGGCUGGCAGCGAGUACGUCGGUCACCCACCCGACCCGUCUUGAAACACGGACCAAGGAGUCUAACAUGUGCGCGAGUCAAUGGGUCUUGACCAGGCCCAUGGGCGCAAUGAAAGCGAAGGACCGCCUCAGCGCGGUCUGAGUGGGGAUCCCCGGUCCUCGCGGCCGGGGCGCACCCGCGACCCGUCCUAUCCGGCUCGCCGGUUGGGCGGAGUCUGAGCGUACACGUUGGGACCCGAAAGAUGGUGAACUAUGCCCGGACAGGAYGAGGCCAGAGGAAACUCUGGUGGAGGUCCGCAGCGGUUC
rnacentral:rRNA from 1 species